UUGCCAGCCCGCUCAGAAACUCAAAUGAAUUGACGGGGGCCCGCACAAGCGGUGGAGCAUGUGGUUUAAUUCGAUGAUACGCGAGGAACCUUACCUGGGCUCAAAUGUAUGUGUUACGAUUCUGAAAGGGAUACUUCUUCGGACAAUAUACAAGGUGCUGCAUGGUUGUCGUCAGCUCGUGCCGUGAGGUGUCGGGUUAAGUCCCAUAACGAGCGCAACCCCUACCUUUAGUUGCCAUCAGGUUAAGCUGGGGACUCUAAAGGAACUGCCUACGCAAGUAGUGAGGAAGGCGGGGAUGACGUCAAAUCAGCACGGCCCUUACGUCCAGGGCUACACACGUGCUACAAUGGCCGAUACAGAGGGCAGCUACCUGGUGACAGGAUGCAAAUCUCCAAAGUCGGUCUCAGUUCGGAUCGGAGUCUGCAACCCGACUCCGUGAAGUUGGAUUCGCUAGUAAUCGCGCAUCAGCCAUGGCGCGGUGAAUACGUUCCCGGGCCUU
rnacentral:rRNA from 1 species